rnacentral:rRNA from 1 species
GGGCGUAAAGCGUGCGUAGGUGGUUUGUUAAGUCUGGUGUGAAAGCCCUGGGCUCAACCUGGGAAGGGCAUGGGAAACUGGCUGACUGGAGGGCGGUAGGGGGUGGUGGAAUUCCCGGUGUAGCAGUGAAAUGCGUAGAUAUCGGGAGGAACAUCCGUGGCGAAGGCGACUACCUGGACCAGCAAUGACACUGAGGCACGAAAGCGUGGGGAGCAAACAG